rnacentral:rRNA from 1 species
GAUGAACGCUAGCGAUAGGCUUAACACAUGCAAGUCGAGGGGCAGCAUGGUCUUAGCUUGCUAAGGCUGAUGGCGACCGGCGCACGGGUGCGUAACGCGUAUGCAACUUGCCUCACAGAGGGGGAUAACCCGUCGAAAGACGGACUAAUACCGCGUACACUCUAUGUUGGGCAUCCAAUGUAGAGGAAAUGAAAUUCGCUGUGAGAUAGGCAUGCGUCCCAUUAGCUAGUUGGUGAGGUAACGGCUCACCAAGGCGACGAUGGGUAGGGGAACUGAGAGGUUGAACCCCCACACUGGUACUGAGACACGGACCAGACUCCUACGGGAGGCAGCAGUGAGGAAUAUUGGUCAAGGGGCGAGAGCCUGAACCAGCCAAGUCGCGUGAAGGAUGACUGGCUUAUGGAUUGUAAACUUCUUUUAUACGGGAAUAACAAGAGUCACGUGUGGCUCCCUGCAUGUACCGUAUGAAUAAGCAUCGGCUAACUCCGUG